rnacentral:piRNA from 1 species
UGUGACCUGGUUGCCUGCUAGUUUU